rnacentral:rRNA from 1 species
UAGGGAAUAUUGGGCAAUGGAUGCAAGUCUGACCCAGCCAUGCCGCGUGCCGGAUGAAGGCCCUCAGGGUUGUAAACGGCUUUUAUUCGGGAAGAAGAGCAGGGAUGCGUCCUUGUGUGACGGUACCGAAUGAAUAAGCACCGGCUAACUCCGUGCCAGCAGCCGCGGUAAUACGGAGGGUGCGAGCGUUGUCCGGAUUUAUUGGGUUUAAAGGGUGCGUAGGUGGCUUAAUAAGUCAGUGGUGAAAUACAGCCGCUCAACGGUUGAGGUGCCAUUGAUACUGUUAAGCUUGAAACAAGUGGAGGCUGCCGGAAUGGAUGGUGUAGCGGUGAAAUGCAUAGAUAUCAUCCAGAACACCGAUUGCGAAGGCAGGUGGCUACGUUUGAUUUGACACUGAGGCACGAAAGCAUGGGGAGCAAACAGGAUUAGAUACCCUGGUAGUCCAUGCCGUAAACGAUGAGGACUCGCUGUUGGGCUGUCAAGGUUCAGCGGCUUAGGGAAACCGUUAAGUCCUCCACCUGGGGAGUACGCCGGCAACGGUG